rnacentral:misc_RNA from 1 species
GAUGAAGAACGUAGCGAAAUGCGAUAAGUAAUGUGAAUUGCAGAAUUCAGUGAAUCAUCGAAUCUUUGAACGCACAUUGCGCCCCCUGGUAUUCCGGGGGGCAUGCCUGUUCGAGCGUCAUUUCACCACUCAAGCCUCGCUUGGUAUUGGGCAACGCGGUCCGCCGCGUGCCUCAAAUCGACCGGCUGGGUCUUCUGUCGCCUAAGCGUUGUGGAAACUUUCGCUAAAGGGUGUUCGGGAGGCUACGCCGUAAAACAACCCCAUUUCUAAGGUUUACCUCGGAUCAGGUAGGGAUACCCGCUGAACUUAAGCAUAUCAAUAAGCGGAGGA